GUUUGAGUAAAUGUGAAGCUCCAGUUCAAUUGCUUGUAUUCAGAGUCUUUUUUAUUACAUAAAUACGUACUAAGUGUUAAGACACUACAAUGGCGACGAGGAUGAUUACCUGCAGUGUGCAUCACGAAUACAGAUGGAGUUCGUAGGAAGAGAGUAAGAUUUUGACUCUUUAGCACAACAGCUAGCAAGCAGUGAGGACGAGGGGAGAGCUGACGAGAACGAGGCGGCAGAUCAAAGACCCGUGGAGCCGGAGGACAGAACAUGGACACAAUGCAAUUGGGAUCAAGAAGAAGAUCUUCUCAGAAAUGAAUCAAGUUCAUGGAAUGGAUAUAGACACAGAUAAUUCAAGGACUAUCAGAGGUAGGAGGCAAGGCAGGGGUGAGGACAUCAUCCUGCUAUUUUGACAGUCCCUGAAGGACAAUACAGAAGAGGUAUUUGCUCUUAUUCCUUCCCUUUCUCUAAUGUAUUUUGUAAUAAAAUUAGCAAGAUCAUUGCUUUACUUUACUAGGACUGGAAACCACAGCAGUGAUUCUGCUGCCUACCUGUGCCUCGGGGUAGACUCAGGGUAGACUAGUGGUUAGAGCGUUGGAAUAGUAACUGAAAAGUUGUAAGUUCAAGUCUGUCGUUCAGCUCCUGAACAGGCAGUUAACCCACUGUUAGGUAGGCCGUCAUUGAAAAUAAGAAUUUGUUCUUAACUGACUUGCCUAGUUAAAAACAUUUUUUUAAAGACAACCCGAGUGGCCUUUAUGUCCGUGACAAGGUAUGCCUAUGCACAAAUCAUCUGUUUCUUCAUAAACAUAGGAGUGCAUGCUUAUAUAAACCUACAGCUGAACAUUUUUUAUGUUAAUUGUAUUAAUCUUUUCUUACUUUUGUCGACAUAGAUUUCAACGCUCUUCAAUGCACAUCGGCAGAAAUCCAUUUCACCAUGAGAUCGAAAAUUUGCUGGCCUUUGUUGGGGAGAACAUCCACGCCCUCGAGGACGUCCCCAUGGGACUUGGGCUCUGCUUGGGCUGAAUCUCCACUGGGAUUUUCUGCCUCUAACCCAAUUACAGGGGCUGAGUCACUGUCUUACUGGUGCUCUCUCAUGUCGUCCCUAGGUGGGGUGCGUCACUUGAGUGGGUUGAGUCACUGACGUGAUCUUCCUGUCUGGGUUGGCUCCCCCCCUUGGGUUGUGCCGUGGCGGAGAUCUUUGUGGGCUAUACUCUGCCUUGUCUCA